rnacentral:rRNA from 1 species
UACGUAGGGGGCGAGCGUUGUCCGAAGUUACUGGGCGUAAAGGGCUCGUAGGCGGCCAACUAAGUCGGAUGUGAAAUCCCCAGGCUUAACCUGGGAACUGCAUCCGAUACUGGAUGGCUUGAAUCCGGGAGAGGGAUGCGGAAUUCCAGGUGUAGCGGUGAAAUGCGUAGAUAUCUGGAGGAACACCGGUGGCGAAGGCGGCAUCCUGGACCGGCAUUGACGCUGAGGAGCGAAAGCCAGGGGAGCAAACGGG